UUCCGGUUGAUCCUGCCGGACCUUACUGCUAUCGGGGUGGGACUAAGACAUGCGAGUCGAGCGUCUCUAGCUAUGUUGAGACGCGGCAGACGGCUCAGUAACACGUGGCUAACCUACCUUCAGGACGAGGAUAAACCCGGGAAACUGGGGCUAAUACUCGAUAGGUGAGGAUGUCUGGAAUGACUUCUCAUCCAAAGGGCAUUGGAAACAUGCUUUCAAUGUCGCCUGGGGAUGGGGCCGCGUCCGAUCAGGUUGUUGGUGAGGUAACGGCUCACCAAGCCUAUAACCGGUACGGGCCGUGAGAGCGGUAGCCCGGAGAUGGGUACUGAGACAAGGACCCAGGCCCCACGGGGCGCAGCAGUCGCGAAAACUCCGCAAUGCACGAAAGUGUGACGGGGCUACCCCGAGUGCCAUCCGCUGAGGGUGGCUUUUCUUUGGUAUAACUAGCCAUGGGAAUAAGGAGAGGGCAAGACUGGUGUCAGCCGCCGCGGUAAUACCAGCUCUCCGAGUGGUAGGGAUGAUUAUUGGGCUUAAAGCGUCCGUAGCCGGCUUAGCAAGUCUCCUGUUAAAUUCAGCGACCUAAUCGUUGACCCGCGGGAGAUACUACUAGGCUAGGAGGCGGGAGAGGUCGACGGUACUUCUGGGGUAGGGGUGAAAUCCUAUAAUCCCGGGAGGACCACCAGUGGCGAAGGCUGUCGACUAGAAUGCGCUCGACGGUGAGGGACGAAAGCUGGGGGAGCGAACCGGAUUAGAUACCCGGGUAGUCCCAGCCGUAAACGAUGCGAGCUAGGUGUUGGAAUGGCUACGUGCCAUUUCAGUGCCGCAGGGAAGCCAUUAAGCUCGCCGCCUGGGGAGUACGGCCGCAAGGCUGAAACUUAAAGGAAUUGGCGGGGGAGCACCACAAGG
rnacentral:rRNA from 1 species